CGUGUAGGCGGCUUAAUAAGUCAGAUGUGAAAGCCUGCGGCUUAACCGCAGAACUGCAUUUGAAACUGUUAUGCUUGAGUGCGAGAGAGGGUAGUGGAAUUCCCAGUGUAGCGGUGAAAUGCGUAGAUAUUGGGAAGAACACCAGUAGCGAAGGCGGCUACCUGGCUCGUAACUGACGCUAAUGCGCGAAAGCGGUGGGGAGCAAACA
rnacentral:rRNA from 1 species